UUCCCAAACGGUCAAAAGUCAAACCUCCCUCCAUAAACCAAUCCCUAAUCAGAUUCGAUCCCCAUAAACGCACAAACCCUGGCGAUCCCGCUGUACUGAGUUUCAAUAAAAAUCCAAAACAAAGCUAUUAAAACCAGAAACCCUAAAAUUGAAUUGUCCCAGAAAAGCUCGCGAAGAUGGGGAAGAAACAGCACAGCAAAGAUCGAAUGUUCAUAACGAAGACGGAGUGGGCCACCGAGUGGGGCGGCGCUAAAUCCAAAGAAAAUCGCACCUCUUUCAAACGCCUCCCCUUCUAUUGCUGCGCUCUUACGUUUACGCCGUUUGAGUUGCCAGUAUGUACGAAGGAUGGCAGCGUCUUCGAUAUAAUGAAUAUAAUUCCUUAUAUUGGGAAGUACGGGAAGAAUCCUGUUACUGGGGCUCCAUUGAAGCAAGAAGAUCUUAUCCCUCUUACUUUCCACAAGAAUUCUGAAGGAGAGUAUCAUUGCCCUGUGCUGAACAAAGUUUUUACCGAGUACACACACAUAGUUGCUGUGAAGACUACGGGAAAUGUGUUCUGCUUUGAGGCAAUUAAAGAAUUAAAUAUCAAGACCAAAAACUGGAAAGAGCUUCUUACAGAUGAACCUUUCACUAAGGAGGACAUCAUUACAAUUCAAAAUCCUAAUGCACUUGACAGUAAUGUUAUCCUGGAUUUUGAUCAUGUCAAAAAUAAUUUGAAGGUUGAUGAUGAAGAACUAAAGAAAAUGAGUUCAGAUCCAACUUAUAACAUAAAUGUUGCUGGGGAUGUCAAGCAGAUGUUAGCAGAGCUUGGAACUGAGAAAGCGAGGCAAACUGCUUUGCUUGGAGGUGGUGGCAGCAAGGCUCAAAAUGAGAGGGCUGCUGCUCUAGCUACUAUUUUAGCUGCAAGGUCUCGCAUCAAAGAGGAUUCAACGUCAGAUGCAAAAGGAGAGAGUAAAACUCAACCUGCAUUUAGUAUUGUAGAUGCUGCAUCUGCUUCAGUACAUGGAAGAAGUGCUGCUGCAGCAAAAGCUGCAUCAAGUGAUAAAACUGCUGCUCGGAUAGCUAUGCACAUGGCUGGUGAGAGGGCACCUGUGAAUGCUAAGCUGGUGAAGAGCCGUUUUACUACUGGUGCUGCUUCACGGUCCUUUACUUCUACCUCUUAUGAUCCUGUCACCAAAAAUGAAUUUGAGUAUGUUAAAGUUGAAAAAAAUCCCAAAAAGAAAGGUUAUGUUCAGCUGCAUACAACUCAUGGUGAUUUGAACAUCGAGCUACACUGUGAUAUAACUCCAAGGACAUGUGAGAACUUCAUCACUCUUUGUGAACGUGGUUAUUACAAUGGAGUGGCCUUCCACAGAAAUAUUCGGAAUUUUAUGAUUCAAGGAGGUGAUCCAACUGGUACUGGGAGAGGAGGUGAAUCUAUAUGGGGAAAGCCUUUUAAAGAUGAACUGAACUCUAAAUUGGUUCACUCAGGAAGAGGCAUUGUUAGUAUGGCAAACAGCGGCCCUCAUACAAAUGGUUCACAGUUUUUUAUCCUCUACAAAUCUGCAAAUCAUUUAAACUUCAAACAUACAGUUUUUGGGGGAGUUGUUGGUGGCUUGACCACACUAUCAGCUAUGGAGAAGGUUCCCGUUGAUGACAAUGACAGACCGCUGGAGGAGAUUAAAAUAAUUAGUGUCACAGUAUUUGUAAAUCCAUACAUGGAACCUGAUGAAGAGGAAGUAGAAGAGAAGGGAGAAGAUGAAAAGACUGCCGAGGAUGAAGAUAAUGAUAAGGUUGGGUCGUGGUAUAGCAAUCCGGGUACAGGAACAGCAGAAUCUGGAGCUGUGGGUGGCGGUGGUGUUGGAAAGUACUUAAAGGCUAGGAAUACUCAGAGUGAGUCUGCUUCUAUUGAUACCAUAACAGCAAUAUCUGUAGCAAAGAAAAGGAAAGUCAUGGGAGGAGAAUUUAAAGAUUUUUCUGCCUGGUGAGAGUUCGCUAAUGCUUUACCAUCCUUUUAAAUGAUACGAAACAUGCUGUGGAGCUUGGAAGCAAGGAAUGCUCGAAUUUGAAUUUGCCACUUAUUACUGCUCCAAAAAAACCCAAUAGCAAAAAUAUGGGAGUUAAAAAGAUUCAAUGGCAGAAAUCAAAUUCUUUUUUAUCCUCGGUGAAUCGCUUUUUGACUGGCUCUGCACAGGUUCAGCUGUCAGAAUGAUGAUUUCUGAACUUGUGGAAUGGGUUGAAAUCUUUGUUGAAUUCCACACUGACAAGUCAGGAUUGAAGUUCGUUUGUAUAUUUUACUUGGUAAGGGUCAUUCUGUGCUAGCUGCAUGCAUUAUUUGAAUCCUUUCACAUGGAACACGCACAAUUGAUAGACAAUUAUGCUGUUAACUCGAGGUCCCGCCCUAGUUUUCCCUCAAAUCUGUAAAGCAUAUUCCUAGUGUAGCAUUGUGACCGUUGAACUAUGUAGUGAUUAAAUGCUGCAAUUAUUGGCUUUGCAAUCAGUUGCACCUUAAGCUUAUUUUCAAUGUUAAAAUUGUGAGUCUAUAAGCCUUUGAUUAGCCACUUUCUCCACAUCAAAGCAAUUGCCUGUUGUCUCAGAUCGGACCUGCAUCAGCUGCAGGGAUUAUGGUGCUGCUUCUGUACCACAAAACACUAUAGAAAAGACAGUGGAAAAUAUAUCAUCCUAAAAUCUAUCAGAGCUCUGAUGUUUGUGCAUUUAAAAGGAAAAAAAAAAGUCCAUUUGACACUCAUUUUGUCUGACACCUUACUAUUGUUUUUCUUAAGAACUUACGUUUUCGCCAUUUUGCAAUCCACCCGUAAUCUUUGCUCACUGCUCUGCAUCAAGAACAAAGGGAAGACAAUAUGAUUAUAUGGCAGCUGGAUAAAAGACAGCACACACUUGGUGGCCCACUAGCUUUAGAAUUCUCGAAAAAACAGGUCAGUUUGAUCACUCACAGGGAGAGAUUUUUGGAUUUUUCCAGGUCACAUUAUCUUCUCCAUAUUAGUAUUGCUAUACAAAGCAAAAACACUUUCGAGAAUGGUUUUUUCCACUCGUAGAGAAGAUAGAAAUAGCCAUUAUGGACCAUUUCUACUUGGUGAUAUUGGUAGCAAAUGUUGAUUUCUGACUUAAAAUGUCAUUCAUGACGUUGUCUAACUACAACUUUGAUGAGCUGAUUCAGA